UCCCUCUGCAGAAAGGAAGGAACAGGCAGAAAAGGAAGUUAAUCUUUAUCAACAUUAAAGAGCAGUAAGUGAGUAUAUUGUGUGUCUAAGCCACGGAGAAGGCAAGAGUGCACAUCAAGACAGGAGGACUGCUGCUCUGGGAAACAGCAGUGAAUGAAGCCAGCAGUGCAAAUGCAGCGCUUCCAGUGGUGCUGUCUGUGCCGCAGAAGUGACACCCCCAUUGUAGGCUUUCUCUGUCAGAAGCAAACCCAGGCCUCUCUGCAGAAGCUCUUGGCUUCUGCUUGCUUAUCAUCAAAAGAAAUGAGGCAGAUAAAAUCCCACCCAGCAGCAGGGAACAGGGACUGUGUAAGAGAUACUCAUACUAGUGUCUCCAGUUCAGAGUAGGAAGCUGUCCUGCUCCAUUUUACAAUCCAUACAAAGAGUCUCUGUUGCAGAUGCUGUCUUGCCCAUCUUCUGCAGGACCAGUAAAGAGCAGCAUUUAGCAAGGAGCUCCCUGCGGCUCCUAUCAUCUGCACUGCUGUCUCUGCACUUGCUCUGCUCCUUGCAGCAGUUACAACAGUGCAUAUCUUACAGAAUACCUGCUGAGUAAAAGUGCCAGAUGGAGAGAGGGCCUCACUCCUCCGGCAACAGGCCCAGAACCUGCUCAGUGGACUAGGCAGAGCAGCACAAAAUGCAGAACUUGGAGACUGCAGGUCCUGAUCCUUGAUGCAGUGCAGUCUGCACAGGCAGAAAUGGCUACACAGAGCACUAAUGAGGAGUUAAUGGAUUUUAAAGAUCAGUUUCAGUAACUGCUCUUCCAGGGCUGAGAAACAGAAUCAUAUUCAAAAGAUGUCUGUAGGUCAGUGGACUUCCAAGAGUCCACAUCAAAUACACAUCUUUAUCUUCAGGUGAACACAGCCAGGUGGGAUAGAAUAGAGGUGCCAUCCUCAAAGAGAAUUUAAGAGGGCAAGAAAAAGUGCUGGCUUUUGAGUCACACAAUGUUUGUGCAUCUUUCAUACCAGCAGAAGCUACAGAGGGAAUCUGCACUAUGGAAGCUGAGGGAAAAACACCAAGUUCAUAUGAAAGCACCUAGGUGAAGGAACAAUAACCUGCCUGAUGAGACUUCAAAAAGGACCUGUGCUCACUUGAAAGACAGCACUGAGGAGCAACUCCUGACAGGAUUAGCGGUGGUGAUGCAUCCUCUCUGUGCUGUUACUCGGCAGGGUGGUAACGAGUCACAAACCUUGUUAAGCAACUCAGUGUCAUGUUUUCUGAUGAGCAAACACCCAAGCCCCGGAUCUUUGGGGAUGAAGAGAGCCUCCUCAAUGGUGGAAUGAAAACACUGAUUAAAAUUCACUUCUCUGGGCAUCAGCAAACUGAAGUCUUCGUGAGCUCACUGAAAAGGGCUCUUGACUGUGGAGGAAAACCUCAUGAACCUCCACCUACACACCCAAAAGGCUUGCACAGCAAACUCUCCAGGAAAUCCUCUCCUGGGAAGCAGCAUAGAGGCUCCUGGAGGUGGUUUGUUGUUUCUCUUUGUUGGCUGUGACACUUGCUUUCAAAACCCGCAGACCAACAAUGACCCACAUCAUGAGUUAGCUGAAGUUUUCCCUCAUGACAGUUACCAUGACUGAAUAAAAACGACCAUUGUCUUCAUUUUUGCUUCCACUUCCAACACAAAACCUGUUAUAUCCAAACUGCACAUUUAUUCAGACAAACUCCUCCAUUGCACAACAGGGUCCACAGAGGAAAAGGCAUUUCUGCCCUCAGAGCAGAACUGUGUGCACAAGCAGGGACUGCUUGCAUAACUCCAGCCUUUCUUUGUGUGGUUAUAUCCUCUUUAGUUUACAUCAAGCAGUCCUCAGCUCUGGUGGUGAUUUCUCAUCAGGAAACCAAAACCCUGUUACAUGAGGUGUUCUCAAACACAGGAAAAACCCAAACAUAAUAGAUAGGGAGGAAGAAAAAUGAAUCUGAACUACACUGCUGCUUUUUCUGCACAAGCAACUUGCUUUUCUUCAUAGCCUGUAGAGGCAGUUUGCAAUUUGUUUUAACCAGAAGUUAGAAAAGCUGGUGACAAACAGCAACUUAGAACUUAUUUACUUUGUGCCUAUUAGAAAUCUGACAAAAAUGUGACAGUUUGUUAUAAGCAAUGAAAAAUAAAGUGAAAAGAUGUCCAUUAAAAAAAAAAACACCAUCAAAACCCAACAAAACCACAAUAUUUUUCCUAAAGAAUCCUUGUAAAUACAGAAGGGAACAAACACCCCAAAUAAUGGCACUUUAAUACUGUUCUUUUGGCAAGUCAGACCACAAUCAACAAGCAAAACUGGAGCUGGGCAGGACCUCCUGGGGCAUGUAACACAGCUCACUGCAGCACAUGAAUUUAACCUGUCAAGAAAACAGCAGCCUGGUUAAGAGCAGCCUGGACACUGCAAAACCAGUGCAAACUCCAGCCAACAGCAGCCUGGUUAAGAGCAGCCUGGACACUGCAAAACCAGUGCAAACUCCAGCCAACAGCAGCCUGGUUAAGAGCAGCCUGGAUACUGCAGAACCAGUGCAAACUCCAGCCAACAGCAGCCUGGUUAAGAGCAGCCUGGACACUGCAGAACCAGUGCAAACUCCAGCCAACAGCAGCCUGGUUAAGAGCAGCCUGGAUACUGCAAAACCAGUGCAAACUCCAGCCAACAGCAGCCUGGUUAAGAGCAGCCUGGACACUGCAAAACCAGUGCAAACUCCAGCCCUUUGCUGGAGCUUAUGGAGAAUUUGGGGUGGGUGGGAUCAGGGGAGCACCCUGGGCAUACCCAGCUGCUGGAGGUUGCUCAGCCACAUGUCCACAGGCUUGGGACACCUGUAGGAAUGGAGCACCAGGGAGCAGAGGAAGAAGUGUGUUAUUGCCCCACUCUGCUGGGCCUGGCUUCUGGAAUGCCUGAGUGGAAGUCAGAUCCACAUGUAAGAGCUGUGCCAGCUCCCACAAGUUCCCUCUGCAGUGCAGCAUGGAUAAACCAAAAGGAGAAGACAGCCAUGUGCCAUUCUGGGGGCUGCUCCCAUGCCAGUGCCCUCACAGUCGAGCUCCUAUGCGCCCAACACUCCAUUGAGCCAUUCCCAGUGAGGACCAGGCCACAGGCUGGAAUCUCACCCAAGACUCACUGCUGCAUCUCUGAAGUGCUAGCAUCUCUCUGGUCCUGACAAAUCUCUGCUGGCAGUAAAAGCAGUAGCAAGCUGCAAACAACAAAAACUAACAACUACAACUGAAAAGCAUCAGCAGACUGAAAGCCCAUUUCCUUCUUGACCUCUGAGAGCAAUAUUCUGCAGGGAUCUCCAUUCCAGUGAGCCUAUUCCAGAAGCAUCCUCUUCCACUGGGCAGCAACCCAAACCCCUCAUUUUGUUCUGGGAAUAGACACGAAGAACUGCAACGAGAGAGGCCUUCAGGGCCCAGCCCAUGCAGGGAGCACAGAGGGCCAGAGGGAGCUAACAGCAAUGUCCUCAGAGGCAGUCCCAGCUCUUUGGCAGCAUGGACUCGGCCUGACUGGGCAAAGUCCAGCACUGGAGCUGCCAACAUGAAAUGCAUUUCUGGACUGCAGAGCCAUCCUUUAAGGGGCAAGCAAAGGUGGCUCCCCACUUUCUGCCCAGAAGGACCACACAGCUUGAGUCUCUUGCUGCCCUCUGGAAACACUCUUGAAAUGUCAAUUUCUACCAACCUCAGCUUGACACAUGAAUAAAACCAAAGGAGCAAGAUGAGGAACAGAGAAAGCUCACAAGCAUUUCUCCGUGACACUCAUCAGCUGAAGAAUGCACCCCAACUUUGAACUUUGUCUGGAACUAACCAGUUACAAGGUCUGUCUCUAACAACAGCAUCAAUAAGAGGAUCAGACCCAAUCUGGCUUAACUGAAAAAAUCACACAAGUGAGUUUCCAAAGUGCAAGCCAAAACCUCAGGGCUGUGACAGUGACUUACACACACAGUGGCUGGAGUUGCCUUCUAUAUCCUCAUUUGCAGCUCAGAGACAACGUUCUUCACCAUCCACCACCUGUGAUUAACUAGUUAAUUAAUAUACUUCCCCACAGCUUUAAAGAAGUCUGCUUUCUUUUCUAAGUAUUAUUUUAAUCCACAGAACUGUAACCACUGGAAAAAAUACUUAGGCAGAAGUUAAUCAAGAGUGAGUUGUGCUUUGGCUAAAUAGGUCAUGCCCACUCUUGGCUCUCAGCUGCUACAGCAGCCCCAGUUCUCACAAUCAGUGAACUCUACACCCUUGGACAUCAAAAGAACUACACAUUUUUUUUUCCCCACAGGUAAAUACUUUUUGGCAACAAAGUAAUUUUUAAUUUCUUUGUACCUGUGCCUCUCUCUGCUGUCACAUUUGUGAAUUAUGGUAUAAUCUGCCACUGCAGGAUCUUCACACUGUGGCUUUCUGAAUGUGAGGCACUUUCCUCACACUCACAGACCACAUAAACCUGUUGCACUUUGUAUGAUCAUUUAUGACUCCACAGUCCUGGGAGACUUCAUACUACCUGUAACACUACUUAACAUGUUAAGGCACAAUGACGAACAGCAGGAAAACAGUACAGGUGUGGGUAAGCAAUGUCACUUCCCAGCUGACCUGGGCAAUGCACAGUAAAGUGCUUCAUCUCUGGCAGCUUCACCUAAAGGAAACUGGGUCUUUCACAACAGGGUAAGCAACAAAUGGCUCCUGAGUGCUAUGUGAAGUACAUGCCUAGAGGCAGAGCCUCAGACAAACUCGUGGCAACAGAAUGUAGCAGUGACAAUAAAUGCAAAUACAUAGAAAAGAUAAGCAGUGCUGGCCCAAAGUGAAAGAACUGGUAUUUUCUUGGUGAACUAUCAAACUACCAUAACGAGAACUGAACCUUUAUUUCUGUGCUGCUUUAAAGCAGGACAUUGAACACUGUUAAUUUGCUUGCAGGAGCACCUUGAGACCCCAAGAGAGCUCCGGGUCCCACUGUCCUAGGUGUGAUGUUAACAGAAUAGUAACUGAAGCUUGGUAUAAACAGUAACAAGAAUCAUGUCAGGCAAGGAAGAGUUCAUCUUCCCAAAGUCUCUGUGGAUGCCACUGCACACAGCUUGUGCUAGAGCAAUGUGUGUUUUCUCCUCUCUGUGUCUGCAGCUGAGAAUCAGCCUUUCUCUCUGUGUCUCACGAAGGUCUCCCGUAAGAGCGCAACAGCAGGAGAGUUACCUACAAACAUAUAAACUGAAAGAAGAAAAAUAUUGUCUGUGGCGACUCCUGGAUGUCUUCAGAGCUACAAAGCCUGACUGAAGAAACCAGCAGGUGUCCAAAGUGCUCCUUUGAGGAGGCAGAUGAGUUGCACCUGCCGCUGCGCUUCCCUGAGGUCGGCACUGGCACAGCCCAGCCAGCUUUUUUGUUGGCACCUGUGGAAGAGAAUUGGGAAACAUGCACGUGAAGAUCAGAGGAACACAGGAAAGGCUGACAGAAAGCUCUCCUUGCAAACAGGAAGCCAAGGAAGUGCUGGAAAGCUGCUGCUGCUG